rnacentral:tRNA from 1 species
GGGCACGCGGUCUGGGAGCUCGAGGUGACCGCCCGGGAGGUGGACGGGCUGCUCGACGUCGGCGGCCCCUGGGUGCACGGCUCACCCGGCGCCCGC